AGAUUACUUAGCCUUAUGGGGGGGGGGGGGGGGCAGUUCUAUCAGAGGUGUGUAAAAUAUUGAUUAAAAAACUAGAAUAAAUCCAGUUGUUUUAUGUGCAAAAUGCAGUUUGGAAUCUUUUUUUAAGGUCAUCCCUAAAGCAGGCAUGGUACCUUCAGUGAACUACUCAGGAUCAUUAAUCUGGAUUCACUCCUCACGCAGUUUCUCACAGUGGUGAACCUCUGUCCAAAUCAACCUCUCUGAAGUGACCUUUUGACCUUUACCCAGUCAUGUUGCUAAAACUGAUAAAUGAAGUGGUUACAAUUACUUUGUGACAUUUUCAGUGUUUUGUACACUUAAUAUAAUAUAGGUUUCAAAUAUUUGCAAACUUCUUUCGUUAAAGCAAGAACGUGUUUGCAAAAAAUCAAACCAGUCCCACUAAACAAUAGACGCUAUGAGACGUCUAGUUUAUUUUAGACCUAAUUUAAACUGUCUAGAUUCUGUAUAUUUUUAGACAGAAUUCAGACAUUGCAAUUGAACCCAUUAUUCGAUAACUAUUUAUUCAAAAAGCAACUAUGAGUUGCAUAACUGAUCUCCAAGUACUUAACCAAAAUAAUUAUGAUAGCCGUUGAGCAAUAUACAGCGUAGUAUAGAUAUAGCCCAGAUUUAGACUUAGUCUAAACUUGGUCUGAAUUUAGACGUCGACAAAACUUUCAUUUUUAGACCUGUGGCAGUCUGAUUUUAGACCAGUCGUCUAGGCUACAUUUAGACGUCUAUUAGACCUCUUUUAGACCAAAAAAAUGCUCAGUUUUCAAAAGUUAGGCAAUUUGCUUCAACCACCUGCUGAAUGAAGCAAAGUUUCAUGUCAAAAUGAGAAGGCCAGUCUAUCUUUUCACCUCAUAUCUACACAGUUUGUCUUCCUAAAACGAGACUCUGCCGACUCCUUAUUGCCCCACUACAUUAAAUUAUAAGACGUGAAAUUGUUAAAGAUAUCUGACACCCUGACUAUGAGGCGAUAAUAUCCUCUUGCCAUUUGCUCACAGUGUGUUAUUUAAGUACCACAGUUCAAGCCCUGCAGGAGACUCUCCACUGAAGAGCUGAAACUCCACAUGCAGUAACACGAGCCCUCCAUGUAUACAAACACACACCAGCAGCUCUGUCAAAUUAUUUGGGGAGUGUGUGUGAGAGACCACUAUAGGAGCCACCAGUCUUGUGGUGGUGAUGAUGUGGAAACUCCACAGGGGGAAAAGACGAGGACGGCUUUGAUUGCAUUCUGCUCUUUUGUUUGGUACUUUCAGACAGUCCUUGAAGUCCCCACAGCGUCUUUACCGUGCACGAGGUCUCUCUGUGGGGUAAGAUUAGACUUGGUGGCUUCCUCUGGUUGCGGCGGUGCUCCCUGUCUCUCCUCUCGGGCUGAGUUAGUAUUGGAUUACAGGUUCACACGCUCGCUCGCAGACCGCCCGUCGCCCCGACCAAUUGCUCCAUUCAUUCCAGCGCCGGAGACGACCGCCGGCCUCUGAUUGGUUAUCAGCGCCGGUUAGGGAACUUUCCCACGGCCAGCGCGUGCUGACAGCCGGCCAGCCACUCCUCAUCACCACCGGGACACACACGGGGAGGUGGAGGGAAGAGAGGGGGGCAAGUCACGGACCGAAAGUCCAUUGGACCAUUGUCAAAGUUUCUCCAAAGAUCUUCUAUAUACGACAAGAUGAAUCACUCUGACACAUUUAUGGGAGGAAGAAAUCCCCCCCAAAGGGCCCAAGAAUAACAACAAACAUAACCUGUUAACAGUGUGAUGUGAAGACUACAUUCAUGUAUUCACAACUUAAAAAUAAGGUGGAUACUCCCCCAAUAAUACAAUAAGACCUUAAAAAUGGUUGAGCUGAGGAAGUUAUGCACCAAACUCCACUUUUAAAGGCCAGUCUGGUUAGGAAAGGUCCCAGUCUCACAGAUGAUUUGAGGCAGAAUUGCAAAAUAUGCAUAUGACACUUUUUGAUUAGUCAUAACUUACAUGUAGAUUUUGAAUAGGCUUUAUACUGUUACUAUAAUUGACAAAAAAAUGAAGCAUCAGGUGGAUUUUAUUUUUCAUUUCAAGCUCCGCCCACAUGAUAUUCUGAAUAUGUAAAAAGAAACUGCUGUUUCAUAGGUCAACAACUGACCGUGGGUCUAAUAGUUGAAACCAACAUGGAGAUGAGAAGUGCUUGACAUUAAAUGAUGCAAAACAAUGUAUUUUUUCAUGUCAAUAGAGCAACAAAAAAGACCACAAUGUCAUUUGAGAAAACUUUGGAGGAGUAAACCUCAAGACGGUUAUUGCUUCCUCUAAAAUGUAGCUUUUCUACAUUUGUGAAAAUUUUGAGAUUAGAACAAGUUAUCCAAUUUAUAUGGUAAUAAGUUAUAUUAUCUAUUUACAAGAAGUGUCAUUCAAAACUUACAGUUAGGCCCCGAGUCGGCCCAAGGCAUAAGUAAGCUAAUGCCUGCUUAGGGCCUCGUGGCCAAUAGGGGGCCCCCAAGAGCAAUUAAAAAAAUAUAUAUUUUUUUUUAUUUUUUGCAUGUAUCAGUGAUGCUUUCUGUAUGAUCAAAUAAUUAUUAUUGUAAAAAUAAAAUAAAGUAAAAACAUUUUAGUGCUGCUGCUGAUGUAGGCCUAUGAUUCUUAGUGCUGAUAUGUCGACGCUACCACUACUGUUAUGUGCCUUUUGCUGUGCAAUGUGCACUGAGCAUCCAAAGCGCAGGUAGAACAAUGAUGCAAGAAAGGACAUAUCCUUCGGGAGUAGAGAAAAGAAAAAAGAGGAAAGAGGAAGAAGAGGAAAAACACCAAGAUGAAGGUAUGUUUGUAUGCCAUGGAAUGUUAAUCAAAGAGCUGUGUGAAGGUGUGUGAAUGAUCAACAAUCAAUAUUAUUGGCAGAAAUAGAGAACCUCAAAAUUAAAUUUUGCUUAAGGCCCCAUUGAGGCGCUGGUUAGGCCAAAUCCAACAGUUCAGUCAUUUACGUCAACAGUUUCAGUAUCAACCACAGAGUAAGACGUCUUCUCUCUUCUACGAUCUUUGAUUCUGUCAAAG